AACGUAGGAGACAAACGUUAUCCGGAGUUACUGGGCGUAAAGGGCGUGUAGGUGGUUUUAUAAGUCUGGCGUGAAAUUUCUCGGCUUAACCGAGGCAGGUCGUCGGAUACUAUAAGACUAGAGGACGGUAGAGGCGUGUGGAAUUCCGGGUGUAGUGGUGAAAUGCGUAGAGAUCCGGAGGAACACAGUGGCGAAGGCGACACGCUGGGCCGUACCUGACACUGAUGCGCGACAGCAGUGGG
rnacentral:rRNA from 1 species